UACGUAGGGGGCUAGCGUUGUCCGGAAUCAUUGGGCGUAAAGCGCGUGUAGGCGGUUCGGUAAGUCCGCUGUGAAAGUCGGGGGCUCAACCCUCGAAUGCCGGUGGAUACUGUCGAACUAGAGUGCGGAAGAGCCGAGUGGAAUUCCUGGUGUAGCGGUGAAAUGCGCAGAUAUCAGGAGGAACACCAAUUGCGAAGGCAGCUCGCUGGGACGUAACUGACGCUGAGACGCGAAAGCGUGGGGAGCAAACAGG
rnacentral:rRNA from 1 species